GAAAUGCGAUAAGUAGUGUGAAUUGCAGAACUCAGUGAAUCAUCGAAUCUUUGAACGCACAUUGCGCCCCUUGGUAUUCCAUGGGGCAUGCCUGUUCGAGCGUCAUUUGUACCUUCAAGCUUUGCUUGGUGUUGGGUGUUUGUCUCGCCUCUGCGCGCAGACUCGCCUCAAAACAAUUGGCAGCCGGCGUAUUGAUUUCGGAGCGCAGUACAUCUCGCGCUUUGCACUCAUAACGACGACGUCCAAAAAGUACAUUUUUUACACUCUUGACCUCGGAUCAGGUAGGGAUACCCGCUGAACUUAAGC
rnacentral:misc_RNA from 1 species